GACCGUCGGCGAGGUCGCAUCGUAAGCUGGCUCGGUGCGGAGCGGGCGCAGUCGCCACGUGCACGCCUCGCGCCAGGAUCUUCCGGUGGAUCGCAGCGGACCCGCCGAGUUAUCGACCUCCCACCCGACGACCCGCCGGCCACCUUUACACCCGUUCGGCCGAUCUACCGGUGCAACCACGAUGUGACGUCGCCCCGAGGAAGACACCCCCCGCGACCGAGGAGCAGCCACUAUGAGGCGUCUUCUUCAGGUCCUGAUGGUGCUUUACUUGGGCGCCAGUGCCAGAAGGACGGAGGGCGACGCCAUCGCCGACGAUGUCUUCGCCGGCCAAAGACGAGGCUCGCUCUACAAGACCGGAUACGGCUCUGCCGGAAGCCCCGGGAGCGGCAACAACAACCAGGCCAAUUCGCCGUAUCUCCCUUAUCAGCAGCCCAGGGAGAGGAAGCCCAACAUCGUUCUGAUCCUCACGGACGACCAGGACGUGGAACUCGGUUCCUUGAACUUCAUGCCCCGGACCCUGCGGAGGAUCAGGGACGAGGGGGCCGAGCUGCGACACGCGUACGUGACGACUCCGAUGUGCUGUCCGAGCAGAAGCUCCUUGCUGACCGGCCGCUACGUCCACAACCACGAGGUGUUCACCAACAACGACAACUGCAGCAGCCCGCAGUGGCAGCGGGACCACGAGCCCCACUCGUUCGCCGCCUACCUGAGCAACGCCGGUUACCGCACAGGAUACUUCGGGAAGUACCUCAACAAGUACAACGGCUCCUACAUCCCCCCCGGCUGGCGCGAGUGGGGCGGCCUCAUAAUGAACUCCCGGUACUACAACUACAGUGUCAACAUGAACGGCAAGAAGAUAAAGCACGGAUUCGAGUACAGCAAGGACUAUUAUCCGGACCUGAUAGCCAACGACAGCGUGGCGUUCCUGCGCCAGAGCAAGCACAACUUCGCCAGGAAGCCCGUAAUGCUGGUCGCCAGCUUUCCGGCCCCCCACGGCCCGGAGGACUCGGCCCCGCAGUUCUCCCACCUCUUCUUCAACGUCACCACUCACCACACGCCGGCCUACGACUACGCGCCCAAUCCCGACAAGCAGUGGAUCCUGCAGGUCACCCAGAAGAUGCGGCCGAUCCACAAGCAGUUCACCGACCUGCUCAUGACGAAGAGGCUGCAGACCCUGCAGAGCGUCGAUUCGGCGGUCGACCGGAUCUACCAGGAGCUGAAGGAUCUGGGAGAGCUGGACAACACGUACAUCAUCUACACGUCCGACCACGGUUAUCACUUGGGCCAGUUUGGGCUCAUCAAAGGCAAGAGUUUCCCCUUCGAGUUCGACGUCAGGGUUCCCUUCCUCGUCAGGGGCCCCGGCAUCGAGCCUGGCUCCGUAGUAGACGACAUAGUCCUUAACAUCGACUUGGCGCCGACCUUCCUCGACAUCGCCGGCGUCGAGACGCCCGCCCAGAUGGACGGCCGCUCCUUCAUGAAGCUCUUUCACAACAGCAAGCACGGCAGAAGAUCGAAAUUCAAGUGGCCGGACACCUUCUUGAUCGAGUCCUCGGGACGCAGAGAGACUCCGGAGUCCAUCCUCGAGGCCAGGGCCAAGGAGGCGAAAAGGCACAAUGCAACGCUCGCCAAGGUAUCCCACGUUUCCGAAGGGGAGGAGGAGAACGAAGAGGCCGAGGAGGAGGAAGAAGAGGAGACUAUCGAGGAAGUCGAGGUCGAAGGCGACGCGGAAUCUCGAAUUUUGGAGAACGACACCGGAAGCGACCAGGACAUUUCCGAGGACGAAGAGUUCGAGGACGCGAUCGGGGAUGAGACCAACACGGAAGUGCAUCUCGACAACCAAGUGCAUCCGGUACCCCACGGACCGUAUAGCUCCAAGCACGAGCGACUUGCCGUCGAAUGCGCUCGACCAGAAGCUCAAGCGGACUGCGUGCCUGGACAAAAGUGGCGAUGCGAAAGGGACGGCAGAAGAUGGCGAAGGUAUAAGUGCCGCUACUCCCCGCCUCCUAUCCAGAAAGUGUGGAAAAAGUGCGCUUGUUUCACUCCCAACGGAGUGGUUUACACGAGGUUGGAGUCGAACGACUUCAACGCGUAUAAAUUUGGAUACGGAAGGGAAAGAAGAGAGGGGAAAAAUCCUUACGAGGACGUCGCCGGGUACGUCACUAGAAGAGGCAAAAGAGAUAUAGCGGACGAGGAAAGAAUACGAGAAGCCGUUCGAGAGGACUUCGGACGAGAGGUCGAUUCCAUGGACGACCUCGAUGAUUUACGCGAUCGACGCGCGAUCGACGAGGAGGACGACGAAGAGUUCUCUCAGAAAUUCGAUCGUAAUUACGGGGAGGAAGGAGACAAUUUCGGCGAUAAUUACGGGCAGGUUUUCGAGGAGAAUUUACCUCGAUUAGUCGUUGACGAGGAGGACAUUCGUUACGUACGAAACUUCAUAAAUCGCAAGUACUUGGAGAGGACGAAUCAAACGAGAUUGGCUGGUUUCGACGACGUCGAUCGAGAAGGACUCUUUAAGGAAAUUCCAGAAGAGGUGCAGCAAUAUUCUUCGCAGAAAUUCGAUCCCGAUUUGGACAAAGUCGUGCGAGGCCGUUUGAACGUCGACGACGUUAUAAGGAGACAUCGCAGAAUAAGGAGGAGCGUCGUUAAAAAAGAUACGAUCGAACACGUUACGAAAAUCAUGGAGAGCAUCGAGGAAGAGCUGGACGACUUAAAGCAAACGCAAGCCAGGCACUCGACGAAUGCCGGGAAAUCGCUCUCCCCGAAAUGUCUGGUCUUACCUAAAGGUGGGGUCAAUUGUAGUCAACUCGUCUACAAGGACCCCAACGAGUGGAGAAUUUCUCGGAGGGAGAUCGAGCAGCAGAUCAGGGAGAUGAGAAUGCAACUCGAAACUCUUAAAGAGAUCCGGCGUCAUCUGAUGACCAAGCGUCCCCAGGUGACAACCGACAACGUCGAAGAGUAUCCGGAACACGAGGAAUCCCGGAACUCCAGCAAACCGCAUCAUCGCCAUGCUAAAAAUCAUACCAGUCGUCACCACAGGAAGCACGAAAAACCCGUUCCCGUUGGCAGUCAUGCCGUUUCAACGACCAGCGCCACUUUCACCUCGACGAGAAGCCCCGAAACCUCCGUAAACGCAUACGAAGCAACCACCGUUGUCGAGAUCGAGUUGCCGGUUGCUACCGAAUCGACGUCGGCGCGAACAACCGAGUCGGUGGAUAUUCAACGAUCGAGCAUAUCGGCCACAACGUCGACAACGAGACCGAAAAAAAUUCCCAGGCGUCAGAAAACGAAGGAAAAUUCUCCCGGUGGGAAAACCGUCCAAGACGAAGACAAGCCCACGAGACGUAGGAAACCGCACGGUCAUCAUCCGCAUCAUCAUCACAACAGGAAGAACGACACGCUGCUGACCAACAGCGUCCAUGAAAUACCGCUGAAAAAUUUAACGGAAAAUUCCGAACCCAACUCGAUCACUCCGGCUACCGUGGCCACGUCUCCGACGAAUCUUCCAACAACUUCCACGACCGUGAUUACGUCGCUGAAACAGGGGUAUCAAGAAGAAACGCCCAUUGUCGAAACGACCAUUGCGGGGGAAACCGCCAUUGACGCGCAAGAAAAAUUGGAAGCGAAUUUGGGAACCGAUGAUGGAGUUCCUGGCCGAGAAACGACGGAGGAGACUAAGUUUAGGAGUAGUACCAGAGGAAUCGACGGCACCUCGUCCUCCGUUACCGAUUUCCCUGAUUUUGGCUCGGCGAAGGCAGGGACCACGACCGAUAGUCUCGAUACGUUCUUCGCUACCGACGACUCGGUCGGAGAGGACACGACACAUCCGACGACCGCGACGUCGACCGCCCCGAGGAGUACCAGCGUAUCGACGCCAAGGACGCCCGCGACGACGACGCAGCCCAAAAGACCCAAAGUACAAAGAAAUAAAACCACCGGGAACCUCGGUCCGGCCAGGAUCGACGUCACCAUCCUGGAGUCUCCGGAUAGGAAACACAAGCAAGGUGUGGCAACGACGAACAACAACGGCCGGCUUCCGCCUAUGCUGAACAGUCCCCUGGAAGCGAGACACAAGUGUUACUGCGAGCCCGACUCGUACGCGAAGAGGGACGAAAAGGAGAUCGCCAAAGAAGAGAGGCGCAGACUCAAGGAGGAGCGACUCAGGAAGAAGGAGAGAAAGCUCAGGAAGAAGGCGAAGCUGGAGAAGGAGUGCCUCGCCGAGAAGAUGAAUUGUUUCGAACACGACAACGACCAUUGGAAGACCGCGCCUCUCUGGAGCGCCGGACCCUUCUGCUUCUGCAUGAACGCCAACAACAACACCUACUCCUGUAUACGCACGAUCAACGCCACGCACAACUUCCUCUACUGCGAGUUUACCACUGGACUAGUCACGUACUAUAAUUUGAGAGUCGAUCCCUUCGAACAGUGGAACAGGGUGUCGUCCUUAACGACCGCCGAACGGUCGUACCUCCACAACCAGCUGGAGCACCUAAAGGGAUGCAAAGGUACGCGGGAUUGUACGGUCGGAGUUGCGAGGGAUACCGUCCCGCAGCCACAGCAACACCAGCGAUACUCUACCAAGAGGAAGUACGGGCAAUCGUUUGCAGCAGACAUGUUCGUGCCCUCGGCGCUGCAAAUCAUUCGUGACAGCGAGCUGGGUAAUCAUCCCAACAAGCGGCGCAAAAAGUUACCAAACAACUGGAACAGGCGCAAUCGAAGUUGGCAGAGCAGUUGGCGACAUCACGAAGAAGCCGCGAAUUCCCGAAGGCAUCGGCAUCACUACUGAUCGGCCUCCUGCAAACGGAUGAGACUACAAGAAUUACAGGUCGAUGGAACUGACCAAAUUUCGCAUCCGAUGGCGAAACACCCGAUCGGCGAUACGUUUUACAGAAUCGAGAACGAUACAAGUGCAAAAGUACAAAGGAAGAUAAAAACUCUGUCGUUAGUCUUCCAGAGGGUCUUCCCUUAGGAGAGACUCUCAUCUACGACCGUCGGCGGCGGAUUAACGGAUCCAAAAACGUUUAAACGAGUUAAAACUUAACGAAAACUCUUUUCCAACGCUAGAACGCGAACACUGGAUACGGUGGGUAUUUUCCCGGUAAGCUUUUAUUGUCUCGAUAGCCACUUUCGGACCACGACUCUCAGAGCUUGCACGAGAUAACUUCGAAUCAUUUAACUCGGUACCGGCCAAAAUGCGCCUUCAGCGGAUUUAGACGGAGCAUCUUGCACACGUAUAAUAAUUAGAAGCAUUGUCUUAGAUACUUGUAUCCGUACGGGUACAUUGACCGUACUUAACGUCGCUAAGUCGAGGUAUCUUAAAACGAGUCCCUAGAUCCUAGUAAACACCGAGUGUUCUCGUACCCUACGCACAACCGUAUCUCUGGGCAAUCCGAUUUUAACGACCGCAUUAGAGAAGUUAUAGUCCUCUAGCGCCGGUAAUUCUCAAAGCGAACGGAAUAACGCGAGUCGGCCUUAACCUAAUCGAAACGGUUAACGAAGACGUCGAGCCGUAAUCAAGAACCGGCUGCCCGAACAAACGAUUUUCCAUUGCAAGCCAAUAAAUUAAAAGGGACGUACAGGUUACGCGGUUCUUCCUACCCGCUCCGCUACAUGCUUAAAUCAUGGGUUCUGUUUUAUACACGCAAUUAGUAUUUAUAGCAACGUCUCUCCGCUUAUCCUACUUACGUUAUUUAAACCUAUUUUCAAUAUACGUAUACACGGUUCUAUUUUAUAUAUAUAUACGUAUUUAUAACUUCUCUACACGUACAACCUGCUGGUGAAGUACAUUAUACAUAUAUAAAACUCGAAAGUGCGGGGCGGGAAAAAUGCGAGUUAUCUCGUGGGAGAAGACGCUCCGUCAUAACGACUAGCGAGUCCCUUACCGACACGGGAUCGAAGUUACAACGGAGUCGCGCCGGAAUUUUUCGAACGCUUCCCGCCUGUGCAAGGCUUCGUCACUUUCGGUCGGACUUUAAAGAAACCGUCGUUGCGGGUUUCCGCGAGCGCGAGAUCGAUCCUUUCGGUCCUUUCGAACGGAACGACGAGACGGAGGUCGCGAAAGUCUCAGACAACGAGAAGCACCUGCCGGCGGCCC